AAAGAUGAUGUGGCCUUUGCAGAGAUGUUGAACAGGAUUAGAGUCAAAGAAAAGACAGAUGAGCUUUCUCAGUGCGACAGAGAUUUGUUGUCACAGGCCGUGACUGCACCAGAAGAAUGUCCAACUGAGGUCUUACACAUCUAUGCCACCAACAAGAAUGUGGAAUCCCACAACACAGAUACCCUGAAGAAGCUUCAUUCAAACAUUAUAAUCAUCAAUGCAGACGAUUUCCAGAAGGAUAAAUGUACAGGCAGAAUGGCACGAAGAGACAAACCAUUUACAGGACUUGGAUGAGAAAAAGAUUUACGCCAAUCCUGAGGUAACUGCAGCGCUCCAAACCAUGAGACAAGCCAGUGUUGAGGAAAUGAUGCCUCUUCUUCAGAGUCUCACCUCCAAGGCUCCUUUGUUGCAGACAGUCUUCAUUUGGACGGCUACACCAUGUUCAAAUGCAACAGACAUGUGUCCUACACAAACUUUCCUCACAUGGCCAGCAGAAGUGGUGGUGGAGUUGUUGUGUAUUUGAGGAAUCAUUUUCAGGUUCAGGUAAAACAGUAUCUGCAUAAUGUCACUGAUCUUGAGUUUUUAGUGUUGAAGGUUCAGGCUCCAUUCCCUGCGCUCAUUGCUGUUGUGUACAGACCUCCAGACUACAGUUUGACACCGUUCAUGCAAAACCUGGUAAGUCUUUUAGAUUCACUUGAAAUAAUGGACUGUCACCCAAUAAUUGUGUGUGGAGAUUUUAAUGAGAACCAGUUACAGAGUGGAAGAAAACAGAUUCUGGAGCAGUUUCAGUCGAGAGGGUAUUCACAGCUGAUCACUUCUGCCACUACAGACAAGAACACCUUGCUUGACCUCAUUUUUAUUUCUCAGCCACAGCAAAGUCUUCAUUCAGGUGUCCUGAGAACAUAUUACAGUUACCACAACCCUGUGUUUUGUGUCCUGUCCUUGAGCCAAUCAUGAAGUCGUCUGGUGAGUUUUGAAACAAUUACAGAUCAUGUUUGUUACAGAGUUUACUGAUUGUAGAGCAUGAAAAAGAUUUUUCAUUGAAAAAAGGGUCUUCACUACUCUGUCUGUCAGAAGACCCUUUCUUAUUGCAAUGUUAUUAAUCAUUUCACCAAAUCAUUGCUGAACUUCAUCCAGAGCAGGG
ensembl:lncRNA